AGUACGGCGAGUGAGCGGUAAAAGCUCAAAUUUGAAAUCUGGUACUUUCAGUGCCCGAGUUGUAAUUUGUAGAAUUUGUCUUUGAUUAGGUCCUUGUCUAUGUUCCUUGGAACAGGACGUCAUAGAGGGUGAGAAUCCCGUUUGGCGAGGAUACCUUUUCUCUGUAAGACUUUUUCGAAGAGUCGAGUUGUUUGGGAAUGCAGCUCAAAGUGGGUGGUAAAUUCCAUCUAAAGCUAAAUAUUGGCGAGAGACCGAUAGCGAACAAGUACAGUGAUGGAAAGAUGAAAAGAACUUUGAAAAGAGAGUGAAAAAGUACGUGAAAUUGUUGAAAGGGAAGGGCAUUUGAUCAGACAUGGUGUUUUUUGCAUGCACUCGCCUCUCGUGGGCUUGGGCCUCUCAAAAAUUUCACUGGGCCAACAUCAAUUCUGGCAGCAGGAUAAAUCAUUAAGAAUGUAGCUACUUCGGUAGUGUUAUAGCUUUUUGGAAUACUGUUAGCCGGGAUUGAGGACUGCGCUUCGGCAAGGAUGUUGGCAUAAUGGUUAAAUGCCGCCCGU
rnacentral:rRNA from 1 species